CAUGAGCAACCAUUUUCAGGUUGUAAACAGAAUCCAGAAAUUACGGAAGACUGCUCAGCUUGAACCUACAGACUUAAUUGAUGUUUACUACGAGUCUGUAGACAACAGCAGCAAUACACUUUAAGAAAUUUUGCAGUCACAGGAUCAGUAUAUUAGGGACGUGCUUGGUAAUUCACUAGUUCCAAAGGCAGCGGCAACAUCAGAUAUGGUAGAAGAUAGCGACAGAGUUUGAAGGUAUAUGCAAAGAUCUUCUCCUCCGUCGCCGUCCGCGACAAAGCUGUUGGGUGCAUCCAUCCAUCAUCUUUAGAUCUGAGUGAAGAGGGCAUCCAUCCAUCUCAAAAGGUUUAAGUUUUGUACCAGCUAAUUAACUUGUCUUUUCAUCAGUUCCUCGAGUAAUUGGAAAGGGGAUUAUAUUAGACUGCUAGCUGAUUCUUGGUGAAAAUUGCUUUGCCUGUAUGUAUGUAGAGAGUCUUGUAGCAAUUAUUCUUAGAGUAAACCAGAGCAGUAUUCGAUGAUAUAUUGUGAGUCACUGAAAAUGUAUAUUGUUUUUUCUUCAGGAUAUGGAUGACCAUCUGCAGGUAUGCAGGUUUCUUCCCAAACUUAACGACGAGAUACUAGGUGAAAGAAAUGCUCUCUACAAGGAAAGGUUGAGCAGCCUAGAGAAUUUAGUACUGAUCAUGAGGUGAUCGACGCAGACUACCGCGAUCCGAUGGGCGUCGUGCUCUUCAACAACUCGGAGGCGGACUUUGCUGUGAAGCCCGGCGACCGCGUCAUACAGAUGAUUGUCCAGGUGAUUGCGAUGCCGGAGGUCGCCGAGGUGGAAGACCUUGACAUCAC